rnacentral:lncRNA from 1 species
GACUGUGACCGCUACCUGAGCACCUGGAGGAGUGCGGAGUCUGGAGGGCUGCAAGGAGGGUCCGGUGGUGGUUGGGAUUUGUCAAGGGGGGAGUUUAAGGUUGGGUUGAGGAGGUUGCAGCGCGAAGGUAAAAGGCGGUUGCAGGUCCAUGGCUUGUAGGCAUACAUACGAUGGGAGAAUCGGGUUAAUCUGUUCAUGUUCAUGUUGUGCCGGCUGUCAAGUUGCGUACCGUAUCACCAUUGCAUGUUGUGGGGCUGAGGGCAGGCAGGACCUAGGCAGGACUGGGGACGAUGGCUGGACAGAUGGUGGGGUGUCGAUGACUUUUGAAGCAGGAUGGAGGCGCGUGAGAGGCUGCCUAGCGUUUCAGCCAUACUGCAAAUACAAUUUACAGUAUUGAAGAGCCUCAGAUUGGACCCCCAUCAGUGAUACACUGGUACCGGCCGAAUCACGGGCUCCACGAAUCCUGGAAUCCAGAUUCGGAGUACGCAUGCCCACCUGGAGGACUG